CAGACAUCAGGGUCUCAUGGUGGACUCCCAGCAAAGAGGUACCUUCAGACCAGCUUCGACCCACGAAUACAACACAUCAGGUGGGUCACCACCAGUUCAUGGCCACCAACAAAUGAUGUAGGUCCAUGCCUGGGAACUGAACCCAGGCCACCAAAGUGGAGCACACUGAACUUAACCACUAGACCAUGGGGCCCACCCCAGGAGAGAUUUUCUGUUCUUGGACUCAGAUCAGAACUUACACCAUGAGCUGCCACCAUCCCAUACCUGCACCCCCACACACCCAUUCUCAGGCCUUUAGACUUGGAGCGAAUUACACCACCAACUUUCCUGGUUCUCCAGUUUGCAGAUAGCAGAUCGUGGGACAUCUUGAUCUCCAUAAUCAUGGGAACAAAACAUACAGAAGAAAGCACACCAAAUGUUUACAUAAAAUUGUAGCGCACACUGGGUCUCCUGAAGGACAUCACUGAGUCUUUCUGCGUCCAGACUCCUUACCCUAAGGGUGGGGAUUUCAGAGAUGGAAUAUGAGGAAGAUAAGGCAACAGCAAUAGAUUGGAGAAGUUUCUUUAAAACGAAGGAUUUACAGUCUGUGUUCUUCAAACAACUGCCUCGAGACAGAGCACAGGCAGCGCCUAAUCGGUCAGCCAGCCACCAGUUAAUAAAGCUUCCUCUUUCUGUUCGUUUGCUGCCCAGAACAAUCUGAGAAGCUGAGGAAGCUUGAGAAAAUUCUUAAAGAUAAUCAAAGAGUAAUUACAAUCAUCUUUGUUUCACCGAAAGUUUAAUUAAGAACAGCUAUAGAGAAAACAUAUGUUUCUUAUCCUUCAGUUGUUUUGUAAUCAGCAACAAAAAUGAGAAAGUAGCAACUCAGAAAAUAAAGGAAGCAGGAACAUUUGAAAGAAAGCAAUCUGAGGUGCAGAGGAAAAUCUUUGGUGCAUAAGCUGGAACACAAAAGCAAAAAUGAUGAAAAUUGAACAAUGUUAACAUUUUUAGGGGCCUUCUUUUUUCAUGGUCCACGAUUAUUUUUUUGAAUGUAUAUUGCUAAUUCACUGCUUAUUUAAAUGAUCUGAUUUUGACUACAAUACUGGUGUUUGUUGGUGUUCUUUAUAAAUCAAGGAAAUUAAACUUUUUUUUCCUGCCAUAUGUAUUGCAAUUUUUUCCCAAAAAAAUGUCAGUUGUGUUUUCUUUGUUGACAAUUCUCUUCACCAGACAGAAGUUUAUUUUAUUUAGAUGAAUGAUUUUUUUUUGGAUUCUCAUGGACAUUUUAUCAAUUCUGGGUUCAAGAACUCUUUAUAAGUCUCUGCUUGCUCUAAAACAAUAAAUAAAGUUAUUGUUUUCUU
rnacentral:lncRNA from 1 species